rnacentral:lncRNA from 1 species
CUCUGCUGUGCCUUCCUGCGGAUGCAGCUCCUCCCAGCUUCUCUGCCGCCAAGGGCGCCUGGGGUCAAAUAUUCCCUUUCUGAACAAACAGUAUGAUUGGGUGGGAGGAGGCUGGGGAAAGGGAGCAGAGAGCAGCUCUUCAGCACUGUGCAAACCAGACCUCAGCCUCCAGGGCACAGAGCAGCCUGGAGAAGGGCCCUGCACUUUGCCACACACCUGAGCACAGGGGCUGAUCGCACUGCAGUAAGUGGGGGUCACUGGAGAGACAGCGGUUCUGGGAAGGGAAAGAGAUGGAGGGCAGAAGAGAGGAGGAUACCAGCUGGAGCCUGUACUAUACCACAUGGCCUCAGAAGCAGGCAGCAAAGUAAACUGAGAGGAAAUCUGAGCAGCAAAAUCUAUGAUGAAGCUAUGGCAAGCGGGAACAUAACUGUGAUUAUAGCUCCCAGUUUCCCUGAAAACCUGUGCUGGGAUUCCAGUGUUUCCAACUUCAUGGAGCUUGGAGAGGAUGGUACCAUCAAUAUGAAACCAAGUGAGCAAAAUUACCCAAGUAACGAGAUUAGCACUGCUAAAUUGGAAGUGAAAACCUGGUAAUGGAAGACAUUGAUUUUUGGAAAAUACAGCAUGUAGGCAUCAAAGUAAAUGGAUCUGGGGACAGUAAAUUAAUCUUGAGGAAGGGCUUCCAAACCAAAAUUGUUGUCAGAAACCAAUUAGAGGCCUUCUAUGCCAAUACACAAUAGAUCAAGAAAACAUGCUUGUUAUAAGGAAGCAUUUUCCAUGCAGCAAAGUCCAUGUAACAAGUACCUGAGAAUCAGAGCAAUGGUUUGAGCCAAGUUAGAAACUAGUUAUUAGUCACUGAGCUAUUACCAUAGGUAAGAGAGAUCAAGAUCUAGGCAGUGAACAAGCAGGGCUUCCUUCUGAUCACUGGUCUGGGAGAUGCAGUCUAUCAUUUUAACAUACUUCCUGCUGCUGUUCUGAAGCACCAGUCGACCUUCAGUUGUGCAUCUCAGAUGAAUAAGAGUCUAAAAUUGGCUCUAGCCAGUGGACUGGUAUCCUCCAGACAAUGCUAAAGCCAGUUGUUUCAACUAGUAGCACCCUUCCUACUUGAUACUAAACUCCUGCAAUCCCUACCAAUGCCCUCUAAUCCUCAUCCAUGAUAACACCUGUGUUCCAACUCUGGGCCCCCAGCCAGCUUACCCCACCUAUUCUAGCCAUUGGCAGACUGCCUUGCCAUUGCUGGGUGGAAAGGACAGAAGGCAGCAUGAGCCAGGUUUCCAAUGUCUCCAAAGUCAUAGAAAGGAAAAUUCCCAAACUGGCUGGGGAAUGUCUACAGAGAGACAUCAGAAAGUGAGUCAAACUUUCCAAAGCCCCUAAAUGACAUAGCCCCAUUUUCCAAAGCCCCAUUUUCAAAAGUGACUGAGACACUUAGGACCUUGUAUCUCCCUGAUAGUCAAUGGAUUCCGGCUCCUAAGUCACUCAGGCACUUUUGAGAAUAUGACUCAGCAUCCCUGCUAAGCAAGCCAUCC